rnacentral:rRNA from 1 species
CUACGGGAGGCUCCAGUGGGGAAUAUUGGACAAUGGGGGAAACCCUGAUCCAGCAAUGCCGCGUGUGUGAAGAAGGCCUGCGGGUUGUAAAGCACUUUCGGUUGGGAGGACUGCUUCUAGCACUAAUAUUGUUGGAAGUUGACGUUACCUUCAGAAGAAGCACCGGCUAACUCCGUGCCAGCAGCCGCGGUAAUACGGGAGGUGCAAGCGUUAAUCGGAAUUACUGGGCGUAAAGCGCGCGUAGGCGGCUAGAUCAGUCGGGUGUGAAAGCCCCGGGCUUAACCUGGGAACUGCAUCCGAUACUGUCUAGCUUGAGUACAGGAGAGGAGAGUGGAAUUCCACAUGUAGCGGUGAAAUGCGUAGAUAUGUGGAGGAACACCAAUGGCGAAGGCAGCUCUCUGGCCUGAUACUGACGCUGAGGUGCGAAAGCGUGGGGAGCAAACAGGAUUAGAUACCCGAGUAGUC